GAAGUGUCAAGUGUUGAUAUUUUUGAAGACUCGAUUUAUUGGCUAAUAAGUUCGCCAUUCCGUCGGUUGCAAAAGUGCAAAUUGUAUGGCGACAAGGCAUGUACAAUCGUAAACAUAAACGACCAACGCAUUGCGUGGCACUUCUCCAUCUUUCAAAUUGCCAAAAAUCCUCCCGCGGAAAAUCCUUGUGAAGAACACAAUUGCGAUCAUAUGUGCGUUUUGUCGCACGAUGAGUUUGGUGUUAAGCGUGCGGCGUGCAUUUGUCCAGACGGCAGUCCAAUAGAAUCCAAUAGUAUUUGUUCGAAAAGUGUGUAUUACGAGAUAAUAUUGAGUUUGUCUGUUAUUGCAAAAUAUAUCAAGGAAAACUUUAAUGCAAUAAUGGUUGAGAUAUUGGUCGUUAUCGGAGGUAUGGUACUGGUCGUAGGGGCGUUAUCAGGCAUUUACUACUUUUAUAAAAAAUAUGGAUUCGAACUGACUGUAGUAAAUUCUAAUAGUUCCAAAGAUUAUCAUUCAACCAUUCAAAACGGUCGCUGCCAACAAGUGUCAUUCAACCGAACACUCGGAACCGUGGUAAUCUCAGAUCUCGAUUCCACGGUUCAAGUGACAAAUCCCUUGAAGAAUACGAAUAUGUGAAUCCUA